rnacentral:rRNA from 1 species
UAAGUAACUAAGCGUACAAGGUGGAUGCCUUGGCAAUCAGAGGCGAAGAAGGACGUGCUAAUCUGCGAAAAGCUUGGAUGAGUCGAUAAGAGGCGUUUAAUCCAAGAUAUCCGAAUGGGGAAACCCAGUAGAUGAAGAAUCUACUAUCAACAAGUGAAUUCAUAGCUUGUUGAGGCAAACCGGGAGAACUGAAACAUCUAAGUACCCCGAGGAAAAGAAAUCAACCGAGAUUUCGUCAGUAGCGGCGAGCGAAAGCGAAAGAGCCAGUAAGUGAUAGCAGUAUAGUGAGGAGAAUGUGUUGGGAAGCACAAUCAAAGAGGGUGAUAAUCCCGUAUCUAAAAACCAUAUUGUGGUACUAAGCUAACGAGAAGUAGGGCGGGACACGUGAUAUCCUGUUUGAAGAAGGGGGGACCAUCCUCCAAGGCUAAAUACUCCUGAUUGACCGAUAGUGAACCAGUACUGUGAAGGAAAGGCGAAAAGAACCCCGGUGAGGGGAGUGAAAUAGAACCUGAAACCUUGUACGUACAAGCAGUGGGAGCCCCAUCACUUAAUCCGAUUGGAAGGUGAUGAAAAGCAACCGCACUUAAACAAUGGUAAGAGGAGCGAAGCGAGUCAAACCACCCAAAAGAAGCAGUGGGAUUAAGUGAUGGGGUGACUGCGUACCUUUUGUAUAAUGGGUCAGCGACUUAUAUUUUGUAGCGAGGUUAACUGAAUAGGGGAGCCGAAGGGAAACCGAGUCUUAACUGGGCGAGUAGUUGCAAGGUAUAGACCCGAAACCCGGUGAUCUAGCCAUGGGCAGGUUGAAGGUUGGGUAACACUAACUGGAGGACCGAACCGACUAAUGUUGAAAAAUUAGCGGAUGACUUGUGGCUGGGGGUGAAAGGCCAAUCAAACCGGGAGAUAGCUGGUUCUCCCCGAAAUCUAUUUAGGUAGAGCCUUGAGGUGACACCUUUGGGGGUAGAGCACUGUUUCGGCUAGGGGGCCAUCCCGGCUUACCAACCCGAUGCAAACUACGAAUACCAAAGAGUGAUACUCAGGAGACACACGGCGGGUGCUAACGUCCGUCGUGGAGAGGGAAACAACCCAGACCGCCAGCUAAGGUCCCCAAGUCUAUAUUAAGUGGGAAACGAAGUGGGAAGGCUUAGACAGCUAGGAUGUUGGCUUAGAAGCAGCCAUCAUUUAAAGAAAGCGUAAUAGCUCACUAGUCGAGUCGGCCUGCGCGGAAGAUGUAACGGGGCUGAAAUAUAGCACCGAAGCUGCGGCAUCAGAAUUUAUUCUGUUGGGUAGGGGAGCGUUGUGUAAGCGGAAGAAGGUUCAUCGAGAGGUGGGCUGGACGUAUCACAAGUGCGAAUGCUGACAUAAGUAACGAUAAAACGGGUGAAAAACCCGUUCGCCGGAAGACCAAGGGUUCCUGUCCAACGUUAAUCGGGGCAGGGUGAGUCGGCUCCUAAGGCGAGGCUGAAAAGCGUAGUCGAUGGGAAACAGGUUAAUAUUCCUGUACUUGGUAAAGCUGCGAUGUGGGGACGGAGUAGGUUAGGUUAUCGCACUGUUGGAUAUGUGCGUUUAAGUUGGUAGGUGGGAAGUUUAGGCAAAUCCGGGCUUCCUUAACACAGAGAGAUGAUGACGAGGCUCUACGGAGCUGAAGUAACUGAUACCACACUUCCAGGAAAAGCCACUAAGCGAAAGGCUUUACUAAACCGUACUGAAAACCGACACAGGUGGUCAGGUAGAGAAUACUCAGGCGCUUGAGAGAACUCGGGUGAAGGAACUAGGCAAAAUAGCACCGUAACUUCGGGAGAAGGUGCGCCGGCGUAGAUUGUAAGGGCUAGCCCCUGAAGGUUGAACCGGUCGAAGAUACCAGCUGGCUGCAACUGUUUAUUAAAAACACAGCACUCUGCAAACACGAAAGUGGACGUAUAGGGUGUGAUGCCUGCCCGGUGCUGGAAGGUUAAUUGAUGGUGUAAUCGCAAGAGAAGCACCUGAUCGAAGCCCCAGUAAACGGCGGCCGUAACUAUAACGGUCCUAAGGUAGCGAAAUUCCUUGUCGGGUAAGUUCCGACCUGCACGAAUGGCAUAAUGAUGGCCAGGCUGUCUCCACCCGAGACUCAGUGAAAUUGAAAUCGCCGUGAAGAUGCGGUGUACCCGCGGCUAGACGGAAAGACCCCGUGAACCUUUACUAUAGCUUGACACUGAACAUUGAAUUUUGAUGUGUAGGAUAGGUGGGAGACUUAGAAGUAGUCACGCCAGUGAUUAUGGAGUCGACCUUGAAAUACCACCCUUUAACGUUUGAUGUUCUAACGAAGAUGACGAAACGUGGUCUCGGACAGUGUCUGGUGGGUAGUUUGACUGGGGCGGUCUCCUCCCAAAGCGUAACGGAGGAGCACGAAGGUUUGCUAAUCACGGUCGGACAUCGUGAGGUUAGUGCAAUGGUAUAAGCAAGCUUAACUGCGAGACAGACAAGUCGAGCAGGUACGAAAGUAGGUCAUAGUGAUCCGGUGGUUCUGAAUGGAAGGGCCAUCGCUCAACGGAUAAAAGGUACUCCGGGGAUAACAGGCUGAUACCGCCCAAGAGUUCAUAUCGACGGCGGUGUUUGGCACCUCGAUGUCGGCUCAUCACAUCCUGGGGCUGAAGUAGGUCCCAAGGGUAUGGCUGUUCGCCAUUUAAAGUGGUACGCGAGCUGGGUUUAGAACGUCGUGAGACAGUUCGGUCCCUAUCUGCCGUGGGCGUAGGAGAAUUGGUUGGGGCUGCUCCUAGUACGAGAGGACCGGAGUGGACGCACCACUGGUGUUCCGGUUGUGUCGCCAGACGCAUUGCCGGGUAGCUAAGUGCGGAAGAGAUAAGUGCUGAAAGCAUCUAAGCACGAAACUUGCCAAGAGAUGAGUUCUCCCAAUCAAAGAGAUUGUAAGGGUUGUUGUAGACUACGACGUAGAUAGGUCUGGUGUGUAAGUGUAGUGAUACAUUGAGCUAACAGAUACUAAUUGCCCGAGAGGCUUAACUA